UACGUAGGAGACGAGCGUUGUCCGGAAUUACUGGGCGUAAAGCGCGUGUAGGCGGAUGGGCAAGUCUGCUGUGAAAGCUCCUGGCUUAACCGGGAGUGGUCGGUGGAAACUGCCAAUCUGGAGGACGGUAGAGGUAGGUAGAAUGCCCGGUGUAGCGGUGAAAUGCGCAGAUAUCGGGAGGAACACCAAUGGCGAAGGCAGCUCGCUGGGACGGUACUGACGCUGAGGCGCGAAAGCGUGGGGAGCAAACAGG
rnacentral:rRNA from 1 species